CCCCUCCUUGGCAAGAAAUUGGUUUUAAGAGUGUAGUCAGUUUGCCUAUUUUGGAGCAGAGAAAUUGGCAACUUAUUGCAGUUUUUGCGUUGUCAGUGCCCAUUCACGUUCUGAAAAUUGUGUGUUUAUGGUACCAAUUAGCACUGUACACUUCAUUUAAAUGAAUAAUUGACUUUGCUGUUGGCCAAAUGCUCCUUCUUUUUUAUUUGUGUAACUAUGGUUAUGUCUCAGCAAAGUACUUGCUAGCCCUUGACGUUGGAGUUUGUAUCUGGACAGUUCUCUAGUUUGAGGAUGGUAACUUUUUCGCAUUAACAGAAUUUUUUUUUAAGAGUUUAUUUGCUAGGAGAAUGUGACGAUGUGAAUAACAAGGCGACGGAUUUAAUCUGCAAAAGUCUGUGGAUCUUGGGAGCAGACCUGAGGAAAAGGCUGACAUGCUUAUAUGGUGCUGCAGAGAAGGAGGAGAGGAGAGAGUGAAACUCUAAAUGAUCAGCCUCAGACCUGCUGAUGCCACAGGAUUGAAGUUGUCAGUGAAGCUGUCAAGUUCUUCAGGAUCUUGUUCCUGACCAGAUUACAGGCACUGCUCUGAAGAAUGCACUACACAGGAGCAGCAAAUUGCACUGAAUUGCACCAGCACAGUAUGUUUGUAACUCACUCUUAGCACAUGAGAAAUUCUUAUUGCGAGGACCUAAAUACAACCCCUGCAACUGAAGACUCAGCUGCACCAUGCUGAUUUAAUGACUUGAUAAGCUUUAAAAGCCUUUAUCAUUUGGACAGAGUUUCUGAUGGGUUGGCCUCCAUCCGGCAACAACUUUGAAGAGUUUAGAAAAUUCCUUUUCAGCAUAUUUGGCAACCGAAUAUGAAAAACUGCUCAUUUAGUAUAUUUCUAAAAAUAAAUGGGAGCUA